CCUACGGGGGGCAGCAGUGGGGAAUUUUGGACAAUGGGCGAAAGCCUGAUCCAGCAAUGCCGCGUGCAGGACGAAGGCCUUCGGGUUGUAAACUGCUUUUGUACGGAACGAAACGGUCUCUUUUAAUACGGGGGGCUAAUGACGGUACCGUAAGAAUAAGCACCGGCUAACUACGUGCCAGCAGCCGCGGUAAUACGUAGGGUGCAAGCGUUAAUCGGAAUUACUGGGCGUAAAGCGUGCGCAGGCGGUUAUAUAAGACAGAUGUGAAAUCCCCGGGCUCAACCUGGGACCUGCAUUUGUGACUGUAUAGCUAGAGUACGGUAGAGGGGGAUGGAAUUCCGCGUGUAGCAGUGAAAUGCGUAGAUAUGCGGAGGAACACCGAUGGCGAAGGCAAUCCCCUGGACCUGUACUGACGCUCAUGCACGAAAGCGUGGGGAGCAAACAGGAUUAGAUACCCCAGUAGUC
rnacentral:rRNA from 1 species